UCAGGAGGANCACCGAUGGCGAAGGCAGGUCUCUGGGCUGUAACUGACGCUGAGAAGCGAAAGCAUGGGGAGCGAACAGGAUUAGAUACCCUGGUAGUCCAUGCCGUAAACGUUGGGCACUAGGUGUGGGGGACAUUCCACGUUUUCCGCGCCGUAGCUAACGCAUUAAGUGCCCCGCCUGGGGAGUACGGCCGCAAGGCUAAAACUCAAAGAAAUUGACGGGGGCCCGCACAAGCGGCGGAGCAUGCGGAUUAAUUCGAUGCAACGCGAAGAACCUUACCAAGGCUUGACAUAUACUGGACUGCGUCAGAGAUGGCGUUUCCCUUCGGGGCUGGUAUACAGGUGGUGCAUGGUUGUCGUCAGCUCGUGUCGUGAGAUGUUGGGUUAAGUCCCGCAACGAGCGCAACCCUCGUUCUAUGUUGCCAGCACGUGAUGGUGGGGACUCAUAGGAGACUGCCGGGGUUAACUCGGAGGAAGGUGGGGAUGACGUCAAAUCAUCAUGCCCCUUAUGUCUUGGGCUUCACGCAUGCUACAAUGGCCGGUACAGAGGGUUGCGAUACUGUGAGGUGGAGCUAAUCCCUAAAAGCCGGUCUCAGUUCGGAUUGGGGUCUGCAACUCGACCCCAUGAAGUCGGAGUCGCUAGUAAUCGCAGAUCAGCAACGCUGCGGUGAAUACGUUCCCGGGCCUUGUACACACCGCCCGUCAAGUCACGAAAGUUGGUAACACCCGAAGCCGGUGGCCUAACCCUGGUGG
rnacentral:rRNA from 1 species